CAGCAGCCACGGGAAUACGUAGGUGGCAAGCGUUGUCCGGAAUUAUUGGGCGUAAAGCGCACGUAGGCGGACUUUUAAGUCAGGGGUGAAAUCCCGGGGCUCAACCCCGGAACUGCCUUUGAUACUGGAAGUCUUGAGUAUGGUAGAGGUGAGUGGAAUUCCGAGUGUAGAGGUGAAAUUCGUAGAUAUUCGGAGGAACACCAGUGGCGAAGGCGGCUCACUGGACCAUUACUGACGCUGAGGUGCGAAAGCGUGGGGAGCAGACAGGAUUAGAUACCCGAGUAGUCCCUGUCUCUUAUAU
rnacentral:rRNA from 1 species